rnacentral:rRNA from 1 species
UACGUAGGGGGCAAGCGUUAUCCGGAUUUACUGGGUGUAAAGGGAGCGUAGACGGAAUUGCAAGUCUGAUGUGAAAAUCCGGGGCCCAACCCCGGAACUGCAUUGGAAACUGUAUUUCUAGAGUGUCGGAGAGGCAAGUGGAAUUCCUGGUGUAGCGGUGAAAUGCGUAGAUAUCAGGAGGAACACCAGUGGCGAAGGCGGCUUGCUGGACGAUGACUGACGUUGAGGCUCGAAAGCGUGGGUAGCAAACAGG